UGCACAAGUUGCCAGUAUGGUUGGAUUGUAAGAAUGACGAGGACCUAUUGGAGAUUGGGCCUUCAUUCAUUCUAAUAUUCUAAUAUAAACUUGGGCUUGGAUCAGGUCUACCAAGCGGCGCGUGCAGAAGAGGUCAGAACCUUCCACACAUAGUCGAAACCGCCGCUGCAGAGUGGUCAUCCCAGGAAACUUCCCCAUCAGAUGUUUCCCCAUCUGUCACCAUUUCCGGCUAAGGAACUCAACAAUACCCUCCAAGCAGCAAUAGCACAAGAAUCCUCACAUGCGGUCAUAGUGGCCUUGAGAUCAUGCUGUGGUGUCGGAGGAGCGAAGGGAAGCAGACAAGAGGCGUACCCGUCUGUCCGAAUCCAGGCCGAUAUAUUAGUUGGGACGGAGUUGACUUGACACAGAAAGCUUAUAGGCAUAUUUGUACAACUAACUACACAAGUUUUCUCUUGAGUAGAGUAGGAUCGAGUCUACCGUCUAUCCAAUUGUGUUUCUUUGCCUUCAUGUAAUGAAAUUUAGCGGUCAAUUAUAUCAAAUAUCUCUGCAGGAAAAUUUCACAAACCCAA